CUAACAAGGAUUCCCCUAGUAACUGCGAGUGAAGCGGGAAAAGCUCAAAUUUAAAAUCUGGUGGUCUCGGCCAUCCGAGUUGUAAUCUAGAGAAGUGCUACCCGCGCUGGUCCGUGUACAAGUCUCUUGGAACAGAGCGUCAUAGAGGGUGAGAAUCCCGUCUCUGACACGGGCUUCCAGUGCUUAUGUGGUGCGCUCUCAAAGAGUCGAGUUGUUUGGGAAUGCAGCUCAAAAUGGGUGGUAAACUCCAUCUAAAGCUAAAUAUUGGCGAGAGACCGAUAGCGAACAAGUACCGUGAGGGAAAGAUGAAAAGAACUUUGGAAAGAGAGUUAAACAGUACGUGAAAUUGUUGAAAGGGAAACGCUUGAAGUCAGUCGCGUUGGUAGAGGAUCAACCUGCCUCCUGGUGGGAGCACUUCUCUGUUGACGGGUCAGCAUCAAUUUUGACCGGUGGAUAAAGGUUGGGGGAAUGUGGCAUCUUCGGAUGUGUUAUAGCCCCUGGUCGCAUACAUCGGUUGGGAUUGAGGAACUCAGCACGCCGCAAGGCCGGGGUACACCCACGUACGUGCUUAGGAUGCUGGCAUAAUGGCUUUAAUCGACCCGUCUUGAA
rnacentral:rRNA from 1 species